AAAUAAAGGUCAAAAAAAAUUUUAAAUAGAAACAGAGCCUUGGAUCUGUGCUCAUUCCCCUUGCCCAACAGAAGCCAUGGACAAGCCUUCAGCCUCCUGGCCCCCUGACAGAGCGGACAAGGGUAGAGGAAGGAUCUGGGGUGGCGACGGAAGAUGCUAGCACACCCGGCGAGCCUCAGUCUCCUCGCCAUCAAACAGGCUAUCGAUCCUCCCUUCCUUCUAGGCUGUCACGGUGAUAAAGGAGAAGAUACCCGUGAGGUGUCGACCACUGGCCCAGCACACCCACGGGGCCCAAUCCACACAUCCUAAUGUCUGCUUGGGGAUGUAACAAUUAAUUGGCACCUUGAACUUAGCCUGGCUAAAACUGAAAGCUUGAGAGGCGCCCGAGCGUUCAGCUUUGACUCAGGUCAUGGUCUCGCUGUUCGGUUUCCAAGUUCAAGCCCCGCAUCGGACCCUACUGUCAGAGCAGAGCCGCUUUGGGUCCUCUGUCCCCCUUCCCCGCUCUCUCUGCCCCUCCCCCACUCGCGCGCGCUCUC